rnacentral:rRNA from 1 species
AUUGAACGCUGGCGGCAGGCCUAACACAUGCAAGUCGAGCGGAGCGGCGGACGGGUAAGUAAUGCCUAGGAAUCUGCCUGGUAGUUGGGGAUAACGACCGGAAACGGGCGCUAAUACCGCAUACUAUCAGAUGAGCCUAGGUCGGAUUAGCUAGUUGGUGGGGUAAAGGCCUACCAAGUCGACGAUGCCUAACUGGUCUGAGAGGAUUAUCAGGAACAAGGGAACUUAGAAACGGCCCAGACUCCUACGGGAGGCAGCAGUGGGGAAUAUUCGACAAUGGGCGAAAGCCUGAACCAGCCACGCCGCGUGUGUGAAGAAGGUCUUCGGAUUGUAAAGCCCUUUAAUUUGGGAGGCGUUAUCAACAGAAUACGCACCGGCUAACUUCGUGCCAGCAGCCGCGGUAAUAC